CAGCUCCCUGCCCUUUAAUUCAAUCACACUACUUGGAAAUAAUGAAAGUUGGGUGACGAUUCUCCCUGAUCCAAUUUGCCCGUGCUUUUAAGCCUUUUUAACUGAUCAUAUACCUUAGGCAUAAAUUGAGAUAGUGUGGUUCCCCACCGCCCCCCUCCUUCCCCGGAUUUUUUUUUCUUUUUUUUUUUUUUAUUGUGUGCGCGCUUGGUUAGGGAGAGAAACCUUGAUGUCAUAGAGAAACCUGUUUUGUAAGAGCGUUACACGCUCAAUUUAACAACAAGUCUACCCCCCGAAGUGCAUGAAAUGCUAUAAAGGACUGGGACAUUAGCAGACUCGGGCACCCUGUAAAAUAGAGAAAGAAAGCAGGACAAUUGCUCUGAGUCAUGACUGAUGCAAUCUGGAUACUGCAAGGCUCUCUUCUGCUCCUCUGAAGCUCCAAAACUUUGUGCUUAGAGCGGCAGAGCCAGAGGUCAGCAGCACCACGGGGCCAGGUGAUGCUUGCAGUGCUUAUCCCCUGGCUGUUGCAGCCGCAUCCUGUGCAUCACUGAGAGGCAAUGUCAGCGGGAAGGUGAGCAGAGAGAGAGAAGGUGGAAACUCUCCGGCUUCUCACAAGUCCC
rnacentral:lncRNA from 1 species